rnacentral:rRNA from 1 species
GACGUAGGGCGCGAGCGUUGUCCGGAUUUAUUGGGCGUAAAGAGCUCGUAGGCGGUUUGUCGCGUCGAAUGUGAAAACCCGGGGCUCAACCCCGGGCCUGCAUUCGAUACGGGCAGGCUAGAGUUCGGUAGGGGAGACUGGAAUUCCUGGUGUAGCGGUGAAAUGCGCAGAUAUCAGGAGGAACACCGAUGGCGAAGGCAGGUCUCUGGGCCGAUACUGACGCUGAGGAGCGAAAAGCGUGGGGAGCGAACAGG